rnacentral:rRNA from 1 species
UAGGGAAUCUUCGGCAAUGGACGGAAGUCUGACCGAGCAACGCCGCGUGAGUGAAGAAGGUUUUCGGAUCGUAAAGCUCUGUUGUAAGAGAAGAACGAGUGUGAGAGUGGAAAGUUCACACUGUGACGGUAUCUUACCAGAAAGGGACGGCUAACUACGUGCCAGCAGCCGCGGCAAUACGUAGGUCCCGAGCGUUGUCCGGAUUUAUUGGGCGUAAAGCGAGCGCAGGCGGUUAGAUAAGUCUGAAGUUAAAGGCUGUGGCUUAACCAUAGUAGGCUUUGGAAACUGUUUAACUUGAGUGCAAGAGGGGAGAGUGGAAUUCCAUGUGUAGCGGUGAAAUGCGUAGAUAUAUGGAGGAACACCGGUGGCGAAAGCGGCUCUCUGGCUUGUAACUGACGCUGAGGCUCGAAAGCGUGGGGAGCAAACAGGAUUAGAUACCCUGGUAGUCCACGCUGUAAACGAUGAGUGCUAGGUGUUAGACCCUUUCCGGGGUUUAGUGCCGUAGCUAACGCAUUAAGCACUCCGCCUGGGGAGUACGACCGCAAGGUUG